UGCUUAAGUGUUUUGGGUUGCGCACAGGCUACGGGGAUACCUUCAACGAAUCCACCGCCUUGGGACGGUGGGGUAGCCUCUGGAAAAUGCACAGUGAUGCGAGGAACUGUAAGCAUGCGUCAUCAGCCCGUGCUGAUUACGUCCCUGCUUGCUGCACACACCCCCCCAUCGCUCCCACCGAUUGAGGGAUCCAGUGAAUUACUCAGACUGUAUUGUAUUUGGUUUUUGGACGCAGCUUGCCAGCUACGGGAAGCUUUGUGAACUGACCACUUCGAAAAAGGAGACUUCGUGACA
rnacentral:rRNA from 1 species